GGUCCAAUUGCGGAGCGGCCCGCAUAUGCAUCUCAAUAUUGCGUAUUCCUGUCCCGCAGGAGACGUUCGUUCGAAUCGGGCUUGGAUCG